CUACGGGAUGCAGCAGUGAGGAAUAUUGGGCAGUGGAGGCAACUCUGACCCAGCCAUGCCGCGUGCAGGAAGACGGCCCUCUGGGUUGUAAACUGCUUUUGUUUGGGAAUAAACCCUUCUACGUGUAGGAGGCUGAAGGUACCAUUCGAAUAAGGAUCGGCUAACUCCGUGCCAGCAGCCGCGGUAAUACGGAGGAUCCAAGCGUUAUCCGGAUUUAUUGGGUUUAAAGGGUCCGUAGGCGGGUCUUUAAGUCAGUGGUGAAAGCCCACAGCUCAACUGUGGAACUGCCAUUGAUACUGGAGAUCUUGAGUGUAGUAGAAGUAGGCGGAAUAGGGCAUGUAGCGGUGAAAUGCAUAGAUAUGCCCUAGAACACCGAUUGCGAAGGCAGCUUACUAUGUUACAACUGACGCUGAGGGACGAAAGCGUGGGGAGCAAACAGGAUUAGAUACCCUGGUAGUC
rnacentral:rRNA from 1 species